ACUAACUAGGAUUCCUCAGUAGCUGCGAGCGAACAGGGAAGAGCCCAGCACCGAAUCCCGCGGCCGAUACCGGGCGCCGGGAAAUGUGGUGUUAGGGAGGAUCCGUUUAUCCCGAGGUCGCGCGGCGCGUCCAAGUCCUUCUUGAACGGGGCCACAGCCCAUAGAGGGUGCCAGGCCCGUAGCGACCGCUGCCGAUCGCGGGAGGAUCUCUCCUCARAGUCGGGUUGCUUGAGAGUGCAGCCCUAAGCGGGUGGUAAACUCCAUCUAAGGCUAAAUAUGACCACGAGACCGAUAGCGAACAAGUACCGUGAGGGAAAGUUGAAAAGCACUUUGAAGAGAGAGUUCAAGAGUACGUGAAACCGUUCAGGGGUAAACCUGAGAAACCCGAAAAGUCGAAGGGGGAAAUUCAUUCGCGUCUCGACCGUCGGAGUGAAGCGAUCGAGCGACGGACGGCGUACGCGUCGUCCGCGCCUUUCGUUUUACGUUUCGGCGUCGAACGCGUGCACUUUUCCCCCAGUAGGACGUCGCGAUCCGUUGGGCGUCGGUCUAAGGUCCGCGGUGGAGCCCGGGCGUGUGCGUCUUCGGACGUUCGGACGCUCGGACCCGCGGUAUCGUCCCGGCCGACUCGCUCGACGGUAUACAGAUGGCGCGGGGCCGCUAUUUCAAUUAGCGUUCGACCCGCGGCAAGCUCGUACGGUGUCAUCGUCGACGAUGAUCGGACCUGGCGCCGGUCUCGUCCCCGCACGACUGUUGGCCGCGGUGUUUUCUCGAACAGACCUCUCGUUACUCUUCGUAACGUUAACGCCGAUCUGCGACGCUAUAGCUUUGGGUACUUUCAGGACCCGUCUUGAAACACGGACCAAGGAGUCUAGCAUGUGCGCGAGUCAUUGGGACAUAACUAAACCUAAAGGCGCAAUGAAAGUGAAGGUCCGUCUAGCGCGGACCGAGGGAGGAUGGGCGAUUCUCGUAUUCCGUACGGUCGCUCCGCACUCCCGGGGCGUCUCGUUCUCAUCGCGAGAAGAGGCGCACCAAGAGCGUACACGCUGGGACCCGAAAGAUGGUGAACUAUGCCUGGUCAGGACGAAGUCAGGGGAAACCCUGAUGGAGGUCCGUAGCGAUUCUGACGUGCAAAUCGAUCGUCGGAACUGGGUAUAGGGGCGAAAGACUAAUCGAACCAUCUAGUAGCUGGUUCCCUCCGAAGUUUCCCUCAGGAUAGCUGGCGCUCGUGGCGCACGAGUUUCAUCCGGUAAAGCGAAUGAUUAGAGGCAUUGGGGUCGAAACGACCUCAACCUAUUCUCAAACUUUAAAUGGGUGAGAUCUCCGGCUUGCUCGAACUAUAUAUAUUGUGAAGCCGCGAGAUUCGAAUCAGAGUCCA
rnacentral:rRNA from 1 species